GAAGGCUACCAAUUAUGUUUUUUUUCUUUUACGGUAACUGAAGCAAUGGCCUAGACCAAGAUGGUGAAAGGCGAAUGGGCUCAGGCGACAUGGUACAAUAUUCUCUCGUGGUGCAGCAGCAGCAGCAGCAAGCUACGGAUCCCAGUCAGCCACAAUGUCACAAGGGUAAGCAAGGCUUCAUGCCUGGUGUGGAGCCCAGUGUAGGGCUUGAACCUAUG